GUGCCAGCCGCCGCGGUAAUACGUAGGGGGCGAGCGUUGUCCGGAUUUAUUGGGCGUAAAGAGCUCGUAGGCGGUUCAACAAGUCGGUCGUGAAAGUUCAGGGCUCAACCCUGAAAUGUCGAUCGAUACUGUUGUGACUAGGAUACGGUAGAGGUGAGUGGAAUUCCGAGUGUAGCGGUGAAAUGCGUAGAUAUUCGGAGGAACACCAAUUGCGAAGGCAGCUCACUGGGCCGCUAUCGACGCUGAGGAGCGAAAGCUAGGGGAGCAAACAGGAUUAGAUA
rnacentral:rRNA from 1 species